rfam:Rhodnius prolixus Rhodnius_prolixus-3.0.3-255.38, whole genome shotgun sequence.
GGCUGAAAAAUUCUGAGCUCUACCUCCACGAGGUGCCCCCCGGACAACUGCUCCCAGUGGAGCAGGCUAACAGAGCCAG